GGGAGCUGAGCAGAGAGCUGUGAGCACUGAGCGUGACAGGGAAGCCCAAGCCCACACAGACAUACCAAAAAACCUGCAAACAAACCUAGAGUAUGCAGCACUCUUGCGGAAUCAUCACUUUACUGAACAGAGGACAUUUGGCAGAAGCUGCCUGCUCCAUUAGACGGGUGCUCCACAGUCCGUGGCACCUUGCUGGACUCUUCCAAGCAUCACCUUGCGGAUGGGUCAUCUCACACAGCAGAGAAAACUGAAGGGCUCCAGAGGGCUGGCAACACACCGAGGAUGGCUGCAAGUCCUAGAGGGUCCCACAUACCCAGGAGCAGGGCUGGAGGUGGAAUAUUAUCCAGACCACACCAGCUCGACAAAUGACCUAGGUUUGACACCAGCCAUAGGACAUCUUUCUUUCAGUAGGUCUGGCAGAGCACAGUGGCCUAACAGGUAUGGCUACUUAAGUGUGUUACUUCGGACCAGGAGUGCGCUUUUGAAGCAAGUGUCUCGACUGUCCCUAUUAUCACCAUGCUUUGCUACAUCAAAGUAGUAAAAGAACAAGAUUCCCUUUGGAUGAAAUUAAGCCA
rnacentral:lncRNA from 1 species